rnacentral:misc_RNA from 1 species
GAUGAAGAACGCAGCGAAAUGCGAUAAGUAGUGUGAAUUGCAGAAUUCAGUGAAUCAUCGAAUCUUUGAACGCACAUUGCGCCCUUUGGUAUUCCAAAGGGCAUGCCUGUUCGAGCGUCAUUUGUACCCUCAAGCUUUGCUUGGUGUUGGGCGUCUUGUCUCUAGCUUUGCUGGAGACUCGCCUUAAAGUAAUUGGCAGCCGGCCUACUGGUUUCGGAGCGCAGCACAAGUCGCACUCUCUAUCAGCAAAGGUCUAGCAUCCAUUAAGCCUUUUUUUCAACUUUUGUCCUCGGAUCAGGUAGGGAUACCCGCUGAACUUAAGCAUAUCAAUAGCGGAGGA